AAAAAGACAAACUCUGGGUUUCCGUGUCCAACAUUUGACCGUCCGUCUUAUUUGAAAAAAAUAUGAAAAAAAUUAAAAAGACAAGUCACGCAUAAAGUAUUAAUCAUGUUUUAUCAUCUAACAACAAUGAAAAUACUAAUUAUAAAAAAAAUUCAUAUAAGACAGACAGUCAAACGUUGGACACGAAAACCUAGGGUUUGUCUUUUU
rnacentral:pre_miRNA from 1 species